UACGUAGGGUGCAAGCGUUAAUCGGAAUUACUGGGCGUAAAGGGUGCGUAGGCGGCGCGGAAAGUUGGGUGUGAAAUCCCUCGGCUCAACCGAGGAACUGCGCCCAAAACUGCCGUGCUCGAGGAAGAUAGAGGUGAGCGGAACUUACGGUGGAGCGGUGAAAUGCGUUGAUAUCGUAAGGAACACCCGUGGCGAAAGCGGCUCACUGGGUCUUUUCUGACGCUGAUGCACGAAAGCUAGGGGAGCAAACAGG
rnacentral:rRNA from 1 species